rnacentral:lncRNA from 1 species
AUAGUCAUUAUUUUUCGAUAUAUAUUUAAUAUUUAUAAAUUAAUAUUUUUGUUUAAAAAUUUUGUAUGAUAAAAAUACUGUUCAUGACUUUUUAAUAUCUUACAUGGCUUUCUGUCAUACGAUUUUCUGUGAAUAUAUAUGGUUUUUUAUGAAUAUAUAUGACUUCAUAUAAAUAUAUAUAAUUUUCUGUGAACAUAUAUGACUUUCUGUGACUUUCUGUGAAUAUAUAUGAUUUUCUAUGAAUAUAUAUGACUUUCUGUCAACAUAUAUGACUUCCUGUGAAU